rnacentral:misc_RNA from 1 species
GAUGAAGAACGUAGCGAAAUGCGAUAAGUAAUGUGAAUUGCAGAAUUCAGUGAAUCAUCGAAUCUUUGAACGCACAUUGCGCCCGCCAGUAUUCUGGCGGGCAUGCCUGUUCGAGCGUCAUUUCAACCAUCAAGCCCUGUGCUUGUGUUGGGGGCCUGCGGCUGCCGCAGCCCCCUAAAAGCAGUGGCGGGCUCGCUGUCAUUCCGAGCGCAGUAACUUAUCUCGCUUUGGUCGUGGCGGUGGGCACCUGCCGUAAAACACUCUUUUUCACAAGGUUGACCUCGGAUCAGGUAGGAAUACCCGUUGAACUUAAGCAUAUCAAUAAGCGGAGGA